UCUUUCAGGUGAAGGAAAGGGUCCCCAA
rnacentral:piRNA from 1 species